rnacentral:rRNA from 1 species
GAUGAACGCUGGCGGCGUGCCUAAUACAUGCAAGUCGAGCGAACGGACGAGAAGCUUGCUUCUCUGAUGUUAGCGGCGGACGGGUGAGUAACACGUGUAUAACCUACCUAUAAGACUGGGAUAACUUCGGAAAACCGGAGCUAAUACCGGAUAAUAUUUUGAACCGCAUGGUUCAAAAGUGAAAGACGGUCUUGCUGUCACUUAUAGAUGGAUCCGCGCUGCAUUAGCUAGUUGGUAAGGUAACGGCUUACCAAGGCAACGAUGCAUAGCCGACCUGAGAGGGUGAUCGGCCACACUGGAGCUGAGACACGGUCCAGACUCCUACGGGAGGCAGCAGUAGGGAAUCUUCCGCAAUGGGCGAAAGCCUGACGGAGCAACGCCGCGUGAGUGAUGAAGGUCUUCGGAUCGUAAAACUCUGUUAUUAGGGAAGAACAUAUGUGUAAGUAACUGUGCACAUCUUGACGGUACCUAAUCAGAAAGCCACGGCUAACUACGUG